rnacentral:lncRNA from 1 species
AAAAAAAUAAAAAAAAUAUUUUCUUCAGAUGAGUAUAAAACAACUAGGUUGAUUAUGUUUUUAUUACAAGUUUUCAAGAUUAUUGGGUAUAAUUAUAUUAAAACGUAUAUAGAAGAAUUCAGACAUCAACAUUAAUCAGCAGUAAUUAGGAUUUUUUUUCAAUUGACUGAUCCUAACAAGUCUUUCAUCUUGUGUAAUAAAUAGUUACAUACACAACUUUACAAGCCGAUCCCCAAGCUGAUACAUACAAACUUUGUUUUUCUUUUAAGUUCUUAAAAUUUCUCAAAUUGAGAAAUGUAGUUUGAUUUGCCGAAUCCUUUCUAU